rnacentral:rRNA from 1 species
CGCUAUCACUCCGUACGGGGAGCAGCAGUAGGGAAUCUUCACAAUGGACGAAAGUCUGAUGGAGCAACGCCGCGUGAACGAUGAAGGCCUUCGGGUCGUAAAGUUCUGUUGUAAGGGAAGAACAAGUGCCGCAGGCAAUGGCGGCACCUUGACGGUACCUUGCGAGAAAGCCACGGCUAACUACGUGCCAGCAGCCGCGGUAAUACGUAGGUGGCAAGCGUUGUCCGGAAUUAUUGGGCGUAAAGCGCGCGCAGGCGGCCUCUUAAGUCUGAUGUGAAAGCCCCGGCUCAACCGGGGAGGGCCAUUGGAAACUGGGAGGCUUGAGUAUAGGAGAGAAGAGUGGAAUUCCACGUGUAGCGGUGAAAAUGCGUAGAGAUGUGGAGGAACACCAGUGGCGAAGGCGACUCUUUGGCCUAUAACUGACGCUGAGGCGCGAAAGCGUGGGGAGCAAACAGGAUUAGAUACCCUGGUAG